AUAUCGACUUUCAUUAUAUAUAUAUCAACUUUCAUUAUAUAUAUAUCAAAUCUUUUUUUCCUACCGAGCCCCGGAAGGGACAUGUCCGUAUGGCGAAGCGACAACGAAGGACACUCACCCGGACGAGAAUUUUAUUGAGUUUUAUUUUAAAAUCGGCCUGAAACACACAGACAUUCAAGCAGUGCGAUGCGCUAAGAGUCUGCCAUGCAGACCAGCGAUCCUGAUAAUGUUGUCGGCCUUGGAUGAUGAGGUCCAGUUACCAGGAGCACUAGUCUGCAGCUUACUGGUUCCGUCUUGCAGCUCCUCCACGCUGUCCUCCUCUCUACAGACCAAAUCAAGAAAAGGGAAUCAGGAAGCUGCUGUGGAUCCUCUGCAGUAUCUGGAGAGGUCAGAGGAACGGUUCUUGGAACAGAUCGGAAGACACCAAGACGUGACCUCUGCCAUGCUCCAGAACAUCCAGAAGAUGAAUGAAAACCUUGGUUGCACUGAUGGGACGCAUGGUGUCGGUGCUGGAGCAACUGUCCCAGAAUUAAACUGCAUUGUUGACUAUUGGCUUUUCUAGAAAAUAAAUCUUUUUUAGUACUU